AUUGAACGCUGGCGGAAUGCUUUACACAUGCAAGUCGAACGGUAGAGGGGGCAACCUCUCGAGAGUGGCGAACGGGUGAGUAAUAUAUCGGAACGUGCCCAGUCGUGGGGGAUAACGUAGCGAAAGCUACGCUAAUACCGCAUACGCACUGAGGUGGAAAGCGGGGGAUCGCAAGACCUCGCGCUAUUGGAGCGGCCGAUGGCAGAUUAGCUAGUUGGUGGGGUAAAGGCCUACCAAGGCGACGAUCUGUAGCUGGUCUGAGAGGACGACCAGCCACACUGGGACUGAGACACGGCCCAGACUCCUACGGGAGGCAGCAGUGGGGAAUUUUGGACAAUGGGGGCAACCCUGAUCCAGCAAUGCCGCGUGCAGGAAGAAGGCCUUCGGGUUGUAAACUGCUUUGUACGGAACGAAAAGGACUCUGGUUAAUACCUGGGGCUCAUGACGGUACCGUAAGAAUAAGCACCGGCUAACUACGUG
rnacentral:rRNA from 1 species